CCUUGUUCUAAGAAGUCCUCCCUGUGUAUCAGACUGCUGUUGAUUCACACAGGGCCGUAACUAGGUGUGGUCCAAUGAUGCCUUGCCCACAGCGCAGAUGCACUGAAGGUGCACCAUUUGGCAGCACACCCGCACGGCCGCUGGUACACUGACACUCCGUCUCCUGCCGCCCGCCGCUGAAGUAAGGAAGCCCUGGGGCUAGAACAGAGACCUUUUUUCAAUAUGAGAGGAGGAGGGGAACCUCUCCUGCCCACCCCUAGCUCCUCCUCUCUCAGACCUUCAGCAGCCGCCGGGGACGAGACAUUGCGGUAUCAGAUCCCCAGCAGGGAGCAGGCUCUGAUAUCAAGUACAUCAACUCUAAUCCAGGUCACCGCAUUCUCCAGCCAAACCAGGAUCCUCAGAUUGACUUCCAGAUGGACCAGAUGUAUAUGGUAAAAAGUAUCUGUUUCCUUAGAUGUAACAAACAGCAGUAAACGACUGGUUCCCUUCCUCAAUAAAAGUGUGUUUACAUCCGUUCCUCAAUAAAAGUGUGUUUGCAGCUAUACGCUCUUAUGCUGAACU